UACGUAGGGACCAAGCGUUGUUCGGAUUUACUGGGCGUAAAGGGCGCGUAGGCGGCGUGACAAGUCACUUGUGAAAUCUCUGGGCUUAACCCAGAACGGCCAAGUGAUACUGUCGUGCUAGAGUGCGGAAGGGGCAAUCGGAAUUCUCGGUGUAGCGGUGAAAUGCGUAGAUAUCGAGAGGAACACCUGAGGUGAAGACGGGUUGCUGGGCCGACACUGACGCUGAGUGCGCGAAAGCCAGGGGAGCAAACGGG
rnacentral:rRNA from 1 species